rnacentral:rRNA from 1 species
AUCGAUGAAGAACGCAGCGAAAUGCGAUAAGUAGUGUGAAUUGCAGAAUUCAGUGAAUCAUCGAAUCUUUGAACGCACAUUGCGCCCUUUGGUAUUCCAAAGGGCAUGCCUGUUCGAGCGUCAUUUGUACCCUCAAGCUUUGCUUGGUGUUGGGCGUCUUGUCUCUAGCUUUGCUGGAGACUCGCCUUAAAGUAAUUGGCAGCCGGCCUACUGGUUUCGGAGCGCAGCACAAGUCGCACUCUCUAUCAGCAAAGGUCUAGCAUCCAUUAAGCCUUUUUUUCAACUUUUGACCUCGGAUCAGGUAGGGAUACCCGCUGAACUUAAGCAUAUCAAUAAGCGGAGGAAAAGAAACCAACAGGGAUUGCCCUAGUAACGGCGAGUGAAGCGGCAACAGCUCAAAUUUGAAAUCUGGCUCUUUUAGAGUCCGAGUUGUAAUUUGCAGAGGGCGCUUUGGCUUUGGCAGCGGUCCAAGUUCCUUGGAACAGGACGUCACAGAGGGUGAGAAUCCCGUACGUGGUCGCUGGCUAUUGCCGUGUAAAGCCCCUUCGACGAGUCGAGUUGUUUGGGAAUGCAGCUCUAAAUGGGAGGUACAUUUCUUCUAAAGCUAAAUAUUGGCCAGAGACCGAUAGCGCACAAGUAGAGUGAUCGAAAGAUGAAAAGCACUUUGGAAAGAGAGUCAAACAGCACGUGAAAUUGUUGAAAGGGAAGCGCUUGCAGCCAGACUUGCUUACAGUUGCUCAUCCGGGUUUCUACCCGGUGCACUCUUCUGUAGGCAGGCCAGCAUCAGUUUGGGCGGUAGGAUAAAGGUCUCUGUCACGUACCUCCUUUCGGGGAGGCCUUAUAGGGGAGACGACAUACUACCAGCCUGGACUGAGGUCCGCGCAUCUGCUAGGAUGCUGGCGUAAUGGCUGUAAGCGGCCCGUCUUGAAACACGG